GAGCACUGACUCCUCGCAAGAGGUCGAGCAGAUCAUCUCUUUAGCCUCAACUUCAGGGCCAGCUGUUCCUGAACACUCGAGCACCGACUACAUGCAAGAGGUCGAGCAAAUUGUCGACAGCGAUUUGGCCUCAACAUCAUGGGAGUCUACUCCUGAGCACACAGCAACUGAUCAUGGCAGCCAAAUUCGGUCAGAUGUGUGCCGCCAGGGGGUCCAGCGGGAAGACACAUGUCAUCGCGACCACGCCUACUCGAAAC